AGUGAACGCUGGCGGUAGGCCUAACACAUGCAAGUCGAACGGCAGCACAGUAAGAGCUUGCUCUUACGGGUGGCGAGUGGCGGACGGGUGAGGAAUACAUCGGAAUCUACUUUUUCGUGGGGGAUAACGUAGGGAAACUUACGCUAAUACCGCAUACGACCUACGGGUGAAAGCAGGGGAUCUUCGGACCUUGCGCGAUUGAAUGAGCCGAUGUCGGAUUAGCUAGUUGGCGGGGUAAAGGCCCACCAAGGCGACGAUCCGUAGCUGGUCUGAGAGGAUGAUCAGCCACACUAGAACUGAGACACGGUCCAGACUCCUACGGGAGGCAGCAGUGGGGAAUGUUGGACAAUGGGCGCAAGCCUGAUCCAGCCAUACCGCGUGGGUGAAGAAGGCCUUCGGGUUGUAAAGCCCUUUUGUUGGGAAAGAAAAGCAGCAGGUUAAUACCCCGCUGUUCUGACGGUACCCAAAGAAUAAGCACCGGCUAACUUCGUG
rnacentral:rRNA from 1 species